rnacentral:rRNA from 1 species
UACGUAGGGUGCGAGCGUUAAUCGGAAUUACUGGGCGUAAAGCGUGCGCAGGCGGUUUUGUAAGCCAGAUGUUAAAGCCCCGGGCUUAACCUGGGAAUGGCAUUUGGGACUGCAAGGCUUGAGUGCGGCAGAGGAGACUGGAAUUCCUGGUGUAGCAGUGAAAUGCGUAGAUAUCAGGAGGAAUACCGAUGGCGAAGGCAGGUCUCUGGGCUGACACUGACGCUCAUGCACGAAAGCGUGGGGAGCAAACAGG